rnacentral:snRNA from 1 species
GAACCUGAGUUGGAACCCCCCCUUCCUGUCCCCACCUGCAGCUCACUUCUCCAUGUGUGUCUCUCCUGCAGCUGCAUGCUCAGUCAAAGAAGAAGGUCUUCCCAGAAUAGAGACAGACCAGUCUUCUGUUGAGGGUAAAGGAGUAGCUGCACUCUCCUGCUAGAGCCUCCAAACAAGCUUUCAAGUGUUUUGAAGUCCUAGGUUCAAUCCCCAGCACCACUAUAAACCAGAGCAGGGCUCUCU